rnacentral:rRNA from 1 species
GACGAACGCUGGCGGCGUGCUUAACACAUGCAAGUCGAACGGAAAGGCCCUGCUUUUGUGGGGUGCUCGAGUGGCGAACGGGUGAGUAACACGUGAGUAACCUGCCCUUGACUUUGGGAUAACUUCAGGAAACUGGGGCUAAUACCGGAUAGGAGCUCCUGCUGCAUGGGGGGGGUUGGAAAGUUUCGGCGGUUGGGGAUGGACUCGCGGCUUAUCAGCUUGUUGGUGGGGUAGUGGCUUACCAAGGCUUUGACGGGUAGCCGGCCUGAGAGGGUGACCGGCCACAUUGGGACUGAGAUACGGCCCAGACUGCUACGGGAGGCAGCAGUGGGGAAUAUUGCACAAUGGGCGGAAGCCUGAUGCAGCAACGCCGCGUGCGGGAUGACGGCCUUCGGGGUGUAAACCGCUUUCGCCUGUGACGAAGCGUGAGUGACGGUAAUGGGUAAAGAAGCACCGGCUAACUACGUG